rnacentral:misc_RNA from 1 species
CUUCUAUGGCUGCCUUCUCUCCAGGAAUCCAAUCCCAACUGGGAACGGAGGAGGAUCACCACAAGAUGAAGUUAGACAAGAAAAUAGCCAUAUUACUUACUGUUGCUUGUGGCAUUCUGGCUAUAAUCGUCCUUGUCUCGUUGUUUGGUUGUUGCAUUUAUUAUUGGAAGUUCUGGCAUAGAAAGAAAAAUGCCCAGCUUUCAGAUGUUGAGAAAGGGGUAUCAGUAACGCCAUUCUUGGGUAAAUUUAGUUCAUUGAGGAUGGUUAGUAACAGGGGAUCAGUUUCAUUGAUUGACUAUAAGCUACUAGAGAAGAGCACUAAAAAUUUUGGAGAUGACAAUUUAUUAGGCAAGGG